rnacentral:lncRNA from 1 species
AUAUUUUCCUCUCUUUCCUUCUUCUCUCUCUCUCUCUGUUUACAUAGUUGUAGUUAUACUGUAUACAUUACUUUGUACUCUACUUUAUUUCACUUAACAUGACAACAUAAGCAUUUACCCACAUCAUUAAAACUCCCUGGUACCGAGAGCCCAGGUCUAUUUUUAUAGAGAAGCUUAAGUGAUUCUCAGUGGGCUCUGCUACCCAGCCUUAAUCACACAAAGACAAGUUAUCAGGUUCUCUCCAAAGUCCUGGCCUGCCGCUUGCCUACUGAGCAGGAAGCAGAACUAAGGCUGUCAUGGAGAGGAAGGACAGGCCAAAUACUGUUUGGCUGCCUGCUCCCUCCCACGAGCCAGCCUGCAGCCUGCUAAGUAAGGGGCCCUGCUGAUCCAGAAUUCUUUCUUGCAGAAACACAUACUGGCUUUGAACCAAGGAGGCAGGCUCACUGCUGCAGCAGCCCCAGGGGAAAAAUCCAGACACAGAAUAAAAAAGUAAACUAUGCCAGUGACUGUAUGGCAGUAUAGCAGGAUUGCUCAUCUUAAUUUCCAGAAAAGCGUCAUCCUAACUCACAGGCAAGACAAAGGCUGCCCAGCAGCCUUUACCCCUACUUUCCACACGGUGAGUGCACUGGAGGUUUCAAAAAGCCUGCGGACUAAGACCAGGAGAACAGCAGACACAGCCCACUGGGAAGCCCAUGAUGUUGACCCCAGAGUGGACUUGUGGACUCGUCAACUCGGGCCAGGCUCCUGGGCCUCACUCCCAUCACGGAGGCUGAAGUGGAAUAGUACAAUCAUGGCUCACAGCAACCUCAUCCUCCUGGGCUCAGGUGAUUCUCCUACCUCAGUCUCCUGGGUAGCUGAGACUACAGGCUCCCACCACCACAACUGGCUAAUUUUUUGUAUUUUUAGUAGAGGUAGGGUUUUGUCAUGUUGCCCAAGCUGGCCUUAAACUCUUAAGCUCAAGAGAUCCACUAGCCUCAGCCUCCCAAAGCAUUGGGAUUACAGGCAUGAGCCACUGCACCUGGCUACACCUGACUCUUUUAAUAGUACUGACCUCAGUAGAUGGGUGUUGGGGUUUUUAAUUGACAUUAACACGCUCAGGUGGUCAUAGCCUGAAGCCCCAAAAUGAGUGUGAUUAUCUCAUUCUUCAUAAACCAGACAGAUGUUGACUUCCAGCAUCCUGAAGUAUACCAGGCCUUAUGGAGGGAUAGGAGAUUUGAGGAUAUUAGGUCAAGGUCAGCUCCCCAAACACCUUCUCUAAUCGCUCAAUAGUGAACUGAUGUCUUGUAGUAUCUUGUAGCUUAAAAGGAGGGGCUGUCCUCUUCCUUCUCUAGUUGUGUCAUGUUUAUCUUUAAACUGAACAGUUUUCCACUGAAAAUAUGAUUUACAAGUAAGGAAAGUUAACAGGGCAGUUUCUUUGCAUAUCAGCUUUAUUUAGAAUUUACAUUAUGUUUCCAUUUUUCUAUCAGUUGAUCCAGGCUCUGAAUGUUAAGAAACAGGAUAUGUGGCCCAACAAGAGCCCUUGUCCAGGAUCAUUAGUCAUUUAUGUAAAUAAAUGACUUCCCAGAGAAGGAGCAGAUGCAAACUCAUGCUGAGCUUGAGGGGCACUGGGCAGUGGCUGAGUGUAGCUCCAUAGCCUGUAUCUUGAGGGUAUGUAGCAGGACACCCUUUAGGACUGACACAGCUAGCCCAUGCAUUACCACUGGACAGCCAUUCAACUUUGAGCAUGGCACCAGACCUCACUCAGCCUCAGCAUGUUGCAAUCCCUCCCCAUGUGACAGUGGAUGGUGGUAAAGCUGCUGCUGCCCAGAAACUUCCCUCCCUUAAAGCGUUUCUGACCUAUUUGCAAAUUGACACUCCUCUCUGAGGCCUGUUUUACAGAAUGAGGGAAAUCUGCUGCCCCUAUAUAUUGUCUAAAUUCCUGCUUUCUGAUUCUUAUAACCUUCUUUUUCACACAUGUGGGGGAAAUUAAUAUCUGUACCAAAUAUUAUUCUUUUUUGAGAAAAGAUUCUCACUCUGUUCCAGGCUGGAGUGCAGUCGCGUGAUCUCUGCUCACUACAACAUCUGCCUCCCAAGUUCAAGCAAUUCUCCUGCCUCAGCCUCUCGAGUAGCUGGGAUUACAGGAAUGCACCACCAUGUCUAACUAAUUUUUGUAUUUUUAGAAGAGACGGGGUUUCUCGAUGUUGGCCAGGCUAGUCUUGAACUCCUGACUUCAGGUGAUCCACCCGCCUUGGAAUCUCAAAGUGCUGAGAUUAUAGGCAUGAGCCACCAUGCCCAGACCCCAAUAUUAUUAUUUCAAUGGCUUAUUUUACCCAUUUUUAUGGUGCUUUUUGUGUCCUAAUUAGGAAAUAUUUGCCUUGGCCAAAAUCAUAAAGUUGCCCUCAUAUAUUUUCUUCUAAAAUUUAAAUUGUUUUAUCUUUCUGAUUUAAGUUUGCCCUGUAUCUGGAAUUAAUUUUUAGCAAUGUAAAUUUUUUAGCAUCAUAAAUUUUUUAGCAUCACAUAUAAUUUAAAUAUUACUUUGGUAUUAUUUGCCAUAAUUUUUAUCUUUUUUGUUUUUAAAUAAGAAAUCAGGAAUUCAGAAAGUGCCAAUUUUCUGGGUGGGAAAUGUUUAUUCCCUAAAAUUAUAAUAUUGUUCCAUAUUAGAAUAGUCAAAAUGUCAGAAAGGAAUUUUUCUAUUUCAUGAGACUCAAUAAAAAUCAAUUUGCCAAAUUAAUUACAUACAUAGAAAGAGAAUGCUUGCGUGAAAUGAAUGAAUCAUAGUGACUACUUAAGACAUUGAGGCUGCUUUAAAGAAGGAUUUAUUCUCCCAUUCAACAACAUUGUAUUGGUAUUUAUAUUAUAAAUAUAUAUUCACAAUAAAUAUACAUUUAUUGAAAAUAUCUACAUCUCAUAUAGGACAGUCAUACUUGUUUGUUAUAUUUCUUUGUACAUGUUUAUAUAUUCAUUAAAAUAUAUUCAAAACAUUGAUAUCGAUGUGUCUAUGAAGAUAUGUAAUUUGCUUGGGGGAAACUGGGGAGAUUCCAAAAAUCACUUAGCAUAACACAGUGACUUUUGAGGACAAAUUUGAUGAUGCCAUUGGUAUACAGUGUCAAACUUUAUUCCUUGCCUCUGUGCUUUGUCAUUAUUUCAAAGCACUGUCUUUAGGUCACAGUGUGACUCCACGUGCACCAGAAAAGAUGUCUGGUCUUAGUCUAGUAUGAAAGAUGUGGCAUAUGUGGUGCAGCCGUCACCAGCAUCCUGAGUCAGAACCAGAUCAUCAGAAACUGAGUUAGAUACAUGCAGCAAAGUACAAUUUCUCCCACUGGGAAUUGACUUCAGAUACCAGUUUUUCAGGUGGCCAAGCUACUAAGCAGGAAAGCAGUUUAUUUAUCCUUCUUUUGAACGUGAAGAUGAAUGAAAUCAUGAAGUGACAUGGGAGCCUUAAGUCAAAAACAAAGUUAUUGGCUGUCCUAUUUAUAGGGCCACAAAUCACUUUUUAUUCCAAGCCAUAAAUGCUGUCAUCAUUGGUGAUCCUGGUGUGUUUACAGUGAAGCAAAAAUCAUGCUGCCUGAAGGAGAGCGUUAGGCAGGGGGAAAUCAGGGUUUCCAUGUUAUAAAGAAUGGCAGAGCUAGGAAGAAUGUAAGCACUAUUUCCUGCUGAAUUUGAACUCCAGCCUGCAGUUACUGAGACAGAUAGAGCUGUCCGGUUAUUCUGAAAACUUUUAAAGUCUGUCUUUAUUAUCAUCCAAUUAAAAGACUAAAUUUCACAUCCACGUAGUCCGUGAGCAUCUGAGAGGACCCAUAUUUUCUUCAAACUCACUUUAACCAAAGCUCCUGGGGAAUACUGCCCACACAUUGGUCUUAAACAUUGUGUCUGGAACUGGAAAACCUUCUUCAAAGCCAGGAUUGCUAGCCAACUGUAUCAAGCACAGAGGAAUGUCACCAUGGGGCAUGCAGACUGUGUCACCCAGGAAAGAAUCACGCCCACAUAAGGGCUACAAGAUGCAGUUUGGCUCGACUGUUCAUGCCAACAUUGAAAACAUCUAUGAAACACCCAGCUUUUGUGUAAUUAUAAUGCAUUCUACUCCUCUCUACCUGAUAAUCAUUUGCCUGUAUGGCUCGCUUCUUGUACCUCCAAGUUAGGAAUUAUAAAACUGAGACUUUGGCUCAAGGGAGGAGGCUCACACUCUCGUGCACAGCUAUCCUCUACUGACUGCUUCUAAUUGCCCAUCAUACAUUGCAAAAGAAGAGUUUGUAUAUGCCCUUUUUUAUGUAAUGUUUCAGGUUCUCAGCAUCUGAAGGUCAUUAUUUGCUGAUGUGUAGCAGGUGUGGUCUAAUCUGCAGCCAGCCAAGCCAGCAGGGUCAACCCCUAAAAGGACAGAGAAACUCUGAGAGCAGCCUCCCCUUGUUCUUAACUGGUUUCUUAAUGAAACCAAAUAAAAGAUGAAAUAAAAGCUGUUAAAUCCACCUGCUCUUUAUGCUCCUGUCAGUGGAAAGAUCUCAUCCUUGCAAAACUUUAGUAUCCUCCAGGACCCUGCUGGUCAUCAAGGACAAAUAUUAGCAUCCCUUUCUCUUCCUUGAUGGGACCCUUCCAAGCAAAAAGAGUCCUAAUUAAAAUUCUAGAAAUAUUAUCAUUUGAAAAACUACUUUAUCAUUAGUGAAUUUCUCAUGCAAGUUCCUUUCUGGCUAGCUUGAUCAAAAAAAAAAAAAAGCUGUUAAUUUUUAAUGCGAUUCCAUGAACUGUGGCUCCUUGUUCAAAACAUAUAGCAAAGAAAAUGGAAACUGUCAUAAUGACUGCUAUUGUGGCCAAAACUCUCCCAACUCUGGUAGAAAAUCACAUUAUUCCAAUUCUUUGGUGGAUGAGAGAGGCAACAAUACAUUGGAAAUGAGAGAAUGGAAGAGUCGAAUGCUGUGUUUCCUUCUAACUAGGAUUCCAGUUAUCACCCACAUAGCUUCAGCAAUGCAAAGUGGCAUAAAUGCAAGUCACCACACAGUGCCUGAGCAGUGAAUGCAAAUACAGUACUUGGUUCCUGACCACAGUGUGUGAAAGCAAAUAAAAGAGAGAGGGUCACAUUUCAUGUUCAUUUUGCUUCUUCAUGACCAGGCUACAUGGAGGCUGAGCAGCCGCUGGCUGCCUUGUUCAUCUCUUUGGCCCUUUUCUAACUCACAGCCUAUUUCAACAUGGAAAAUGAAGGAAGAAACAUCAGCAGAUCAUUUUCCAAAUGUCGAUCAUCUGCUUUAAUUGUGGUUGUGCUGAUUUUAUUGCUCUUGGCAAAAUCUUGUUCUCCCCGCAGUGCAGCCAAAAUACUAGGUUGUAUCAAUUGCCAUUGAAAACACAACCCAUUACACGUCAGACAAAGGAAAUAAAAAUUGCUGACACUCUGUUUUGCAAGGACAAAUUAAUUUGCCCCAGAAUGGCAUGUUUGCCACUGAUCUCAUUAAAAGUACUGUGAGAUUAUCAGGAAAAAUUAAUACAAGCUGUUGGUUAUCAGCUACAUCAUUUCAGCUCACAAAGGCAAGUCCUAGUUGUCAGUUUGCUGCUGGGGGCAAGGACAGGCAUUUACAAAGAAAGUCACAUUCAAUUAGAAACUAUGGCUGGGGCUGGCAUUUGCAGUUGCUCUGCACCGGAUCAGCUUGAAGAACAAUCACACUGCUUUUGGUUUGAACUUGAAAGCAAGGGCUUUUAUGGCAGCAAGGGGAAU